CGGCUUAGCUCACUGGUGAGAGCACCGCGUAGGUAACGCGGAGGGGCAGGACGACGGUCCUCAGGGGUUCGAUUCCCGGCAGCCGGCCA
rnacentral:tRNA from 1 species